rnacentral:rRNA from 1 species
GGGAUUGCCCUAGUAACGGCGAGUGAAGCGGCAACAGCUCAAAUUUGAAAUCUGGCUCUCGGGCCCGAGUUGUAAUUUGUAGAGGAUACUUUUGAUGCGGUGCCUUCCGAGUUCCCUGGAACGGGACGCCAUAGAGGGUGAGAGCCCCGUCUGGUUGGAUGCCAAAUCUCUGUAAAGUUCCUUCGACGAGUCGAGUAGUUUGGGAAUGCUGCUCUAAAUGGGAGGUAUAUGUCUUCUAAAGCUAAAUACCGGCCAGAGACCGAUAGCGCACAAGUAGAGUGAUCGAAAGAUGAAAAGCACUUUGAAAAGAGAGUUAAAAAGUACGUGAAAUUGUUGAAAGGGAAGCGUUUAUGACCAGACUUGGGCUUGGUUAAUCAUCUGGGGUUCUCCCCAGUGCACUUUUCCAGUCCAGGCCAGCAUCAGUUUUCCCCGGGGGAUAAAGACUUCGGGAAUGUGGCUCUCUUCGGGGAGUGUUAUAGCCCGUUGUGUAAUACCCUGGGGGGGACUGAGGUUCGCGCAUCUGCAAGGAUGCUGGCGUAAUGGUCAUCAACGACCCGUCUUGAAACACGGACCAAGGAGUCGUCUUCGUAUGCGAGUGUUCGGGUGUCAAACCCCUACGCGUAAUGAAAGUGAACGCAGGUGAGAGCUUCGGCGCAUCAUCGACCGAUCCUGAUGUUCUCGGAUGGAUUUGAGUAAGAGCAUACGGGGCCGGACCCGAAAGAAGGUGAACUAUGCCUGUAUAGGGUGAAGCCAGAGGAAACUCUGGUGGAGGCUCGCAGCGGUUCUGACGUGCAAAUCGAUCGUCAAAUAUGGGCAUGGGGGCGAAAGACUAAUCGAACCUUCUAGUAGCUGGUUUCCGCCGAAGUUUCCCUCAGGAUAGCAGUGUUGAACUCAGUUUUAUGAGGUAAAGCGAAUGAUUAGGGACUCGGGGGCGCUAUUUAGCCUUCAUCCAUUCUCAAACUUUAAAUAUGUAAGAAGCUCUUGUUGCUUAAUUGAACGUGAGCAUUCGAAUGUAUCAACACUAGUGGGCCAUUUUUGGUAAGCAGAACUGGCGAUGCGGGAUGAACCGAACGCGAGGUUAAGGUGCCAGAGUAGACGCUCAUCAGACACCACAAAAGGUGUUAGUACAUCUUGACAGCAGGACGGUGGCCAUGGAAGUCGGAAUCCGCUAAGGACUGUGUAACAACUCACCUGCCGAAUGUACUAGCCCUGAAAAUGGAUGGCGCUCAAGCGUCUCACCCAUACCUCGCCCUCAGGGUAGAAACGAUGCCCUGAGGAGUAGGCGGACGUGGAGGUCAGUGACGAAGCCUAGGGC